rnacentral:rRNA from 1 species
GGUAAACGGCGGCCGUAACUAUAACGGUCCUAAGGUAGCGAAAUUCCUUGUCGGGUAAGUUCCGACCUGCACGAAUGGCGUAAUGAUGGCCAGGCUGUCUCCACCCGAGACUCAGUGAAAUUGAACUCGCUGUGAAGAUGCAGUGUACCCGCGGCAAGACGGAAAGACCCCGUGAACCUUUACUAUAGCUUGACACUGAACAUUGAGCCUUGAUGUGUAGGAUAGGUGGGAGGCUUUGAAGUGUGGACGCCAGUCUGCAUGGAGCCGACCUUGAAAUACCACCCUUUAAUGUUUGAUGUUCUAACGUUGGCCCGUAAUCCGGGUUGCGGACAGUGUCUGGUGGGUAGUUUGACUGGGGCGGUCUCCUCCUAAAGAGUAACGGAGGAGCACGAAGGUUGGCUAAUCCUGGUCGGACAUCAGGAGGUUAGUGCAAUGGCAUAAGCCAGCUUGACUGCGAGCGUGACGGCGCGAGCAGGUGCGAAAGCAGGUCAUAGUGAUCCGGUGGUUCUGAAUGGAAGGGCCAUCGCUCAACGGAUAAAAGGUACUCCGGGGAUAACAGGCUGAUACCGCCCAAGAGUUCAUAUCGACGGCGGUGUUUGGCACCUCGAUGUCGGCUCAUCACAUCCUGGGGCUGAAGUAGGUCCCAAGGGUAUGGCUGUUCGCCAUUUAAAGUGGUACGCGAGCUGGGUUUAGAACGUCGUGAGACAGUUCGGUCCCUAUCUGCCGUGGGCGCUGGAGAACUGAGGGGGGCUGCUCCUAGUACGAGAGGACCGGAGUGGACGCAUCACUGGUGUUCGGGUUGUCAUGCCAAUGGCACUGCCCGGUAGCUAAAUGCGGAAGAGAUAAGUGCUGAAAGCAUCUAAGCACGAAACUUGCCCCGAGAUGAGUUCUCCCUGACUCCUUGAGAGUCCUGAAGGAACGUUGAAGACGACGACGUUGAUAGGCCGGGUGUGUAAGCGCAGCGAUGCGUUGAGCUAACCGGUACUAAUGAACCGUGAGGCUUAACCUUACAACGCCGAAG